GCCGGUGUAGCUCAGGGGUAGAGCGUUUCCUUGGUAAGGAAGAGGUCGGCGGUUCAAAUCCGCUCGCUGGCU
rnacentral:tRNA from 1 species